UCACAAUUUGGGCAGGGGCAGCAGCACCCAGGGAGCUCCUGCCCCGAUUCAGAAGGGGCGUGGCUCCCACCGGCUCUUUGGCUUGUGCAGCCCCAGCUGCUCCUCCCUGCUGAGGCCGACGUGAUGGCAGCAGCCAUUGCCAUCACUGGAAGAAUGCCAAGUUCAAAGUCUGGAGCUUCUAAAGCAGCACCUUAAGCAAGAGUUACACAAAGGUCAGUGAUCCCAGUGUGAGGUCAGGAGAGUAAAGAACAGAUAAAGGCAUCUUCCCUGCAAGAGACCCUCUACAGCCAGACCAUAGGAAUAUAAUGGCAAAACCUUGGGACUAAAGCCAGAGCAAUGGUUUCAGAUACGGACCUCCAACAGAGUCACACCUUCUAGGACCAAGACAAGUGUGUUCUUGUCUCCUGAAACACAAGCUGAGAGGAUGCCUGGAGUCCCUGCCACUAUCUGACUACCACAUGAAAUCUGAGACUAAAGAAAACACUACAGGAGAUAGAAUUGGGAAAUAGAGAAACCAAAUCCUGAAGCAAAAAAUGCCCUUCAAAAAUGAAGACAAAAUAAAGAGUUCAUAAGACAAACAAAAGCUGAGACAAUAUCCGGAAGACUUAUACUACAAGAAACACUAAAGAACGUUUCUCACACUGAAGGAAAAUAAUAUCUGAUGGAAACUUGAAUCUACACAAAGGAAUAAAGAUUGUCAAAAAGGGUAAAUAAAUGAUUAAAUAU